rnacentral:rRNA from 1 species
UACGUAGGGUGCGAGCGUUAAUCGGAAUUACUGGGCGUAAAGCGUGCGCAGGCGGUUCGUUAAGUUCGUUGUGAAAGCCCCGGGCUCAACCUGGGAACUGCAAUGGAAACUGGCGGGCUUGAGUAUGGCAGAGGGGGGUGGAAUUCCGCGUGUAGCAGUGAAAUGCGUAGAUAUGCGGAGGAACACCGAUGGCGAAGGCAAUCCCCUGGGCCUGCACUGACGCUCAUGCACGAAAGCGUGGGGAGCAAACAGG